rnacentral:rRNA from 1 species
CGUGGAGGACGACGGCCCUACGGGUUGUAAACUCCUUUUAUAAGGGGAUAAAGUUGGCCAUGUAUGGCCAUUUGCAGGUACCUUAUGAAUAAGCAUCGGCUAAUUCCGUGCCAGCAGCCGCGGUAAUACGGAAGAUGCGAGCGUUAUCCGGAUUUAUUGGGUUUAAAGGGAGCGUAGGCGGGCAGUCAAGUCAGCGGUCAAAUGGCGCGGCUCAACCGCGUUCCGCCGUUGAAACUGGCAGCCUUGAGUAUGCACAGGGUACAUGGAAUUCGUGGUGUAGCGGUGAAAUGCUUAGAUAUCACGAGGAACUCCGAUCGCGCAGGCAUUGUACCGGGGCAUUACUGACGCUGAGGCUCGAAGGUGCGGGUAUCAAACAGGAUUAGAUACCCUGGUAGUCCGCACAGUAAACGAUGAAUGCCCGCUGUCGGCGACAUAGUGUCGGCGGCCAAGCGAAAGCGUUAAGCAUUCCACCUGGGGAGUACGCCGGCAACGGUGAAACUCAAAGGAAUUGACGGGGGCCCGCACAAGCGGAGGAACAUGUGGUUUAAUUCGAUGAUACGCGAGGAACCUUACCCGGGCUUGAAUCGCAGGUGCAUGGGCCGGAGACGGCCCUUUCCUUCGGGACUCCUGCGAAGGUGCUGCAUGGUUGUCGUCAGCUCGUGCCGUGAGGUGUCGGCUUAAGUGCCAUAACGAGCGCAACCCCCCUCCCCAGUUGCCAUCGGGUAAUGCCGGGCACUUUGGGGACACUGCCACCGCAAGGUGCGAGGAAGGUGGGGAUGACGUCAAAUCAGCACGGCCCUUACGUCCGGGGCGACACACGUGUUACAAUGGGGGGUACAGAGGGCCGCUGCCCGGUGACGGUUGGCCAAUCCCUAAAGCCCCUCUCAGUUCGGACUGGAGUCUGCAACCCGACUCCACGA